CACUUUUACACGAUGCGCUCCAGCUCCCUCGCGUAGCUCAAAGUCUGGUUAAUGAGCUGAAGCGAGGGGAUUUCCUUGCACGGUUGAACGUCUUUCGUAAGCUGAAAGAACACCUUCCCAUCCUUCAUCUCCCACUGGGGGUGUUCCUUCUGGAUAUAUUCAGAGAGCUGUUGAUCAGAAGUGAACAUCAUUAUCCUCUUCGCAUCAUCUACCGAAAGGUAGUCGUAUGCCUUCUCGCUGCACCCAGCGAUUUCAUCUCUCACUGUCUCCGCUAACACAUCCAUGAAGUACACAUAAGCCUCAUCAGGAACAGACUGCCGGGCACUCAGGACUCGAUUAUAAGCUCCUUCCAUGAAGGACUGCUCUAGCUCAACUGCAUGCUUGAUGCAGGGGUUCUCCAAGGCACUGGGUGGCAGAAGCUCGAGUUCAGUGUGGAACUCUGCUAUUCUGUUCUGAAUAAGAAGCCUCAGAAGAUUCAAACCCAAGAUACGGAAUUCUUCAGGCGAUGGGGGGAUGGCACCACAUGUAUCGGUAUAAUACAGCUUCAGCUGAGAAAAGUCCCUCUCAAAGGCACCCUGGUCCUUAAUCUUCACGCUUAAAAUAACAGCGUACUCAUAUAUUUCCCUGGCAAUCAUCAACUCGUGAGUAGCAUUAGCCGUCUUCUCGAAAGUCGGCGGCAGGCUUGGGAAUUUGGUUAGAAG
rnacentral:misc_RNA from 1 species